CCUACGGGAGGCAGCAGUGAGGAAUAUUGGUCAAUGGGCGAGAGCCUGAACCAGCCAAGUCGCGUGAGGGAGUACUGCCCUAUGGGUUGUAAACCUCUUUUGUCGGGGAGCAAAAGCCGGACGUGUCCGGCUGUGAGAGUACCCGAAGAAAAAGCAUCGGCUAACUCCGUGCCAGCAGCCGCGGUAAUACGGAGGAUGCGAGCGUUAUCCGGAUUUAUUGGGUUUAAAGGGUGCGUAGGCUGUGAGGUAAGUCAGCGGUGAAAUGCCCCCGCUCAACGGGGUGAAGUGCCAUUGAUACUGCCUGGCUGGAAUGCGGAUGCCGUGGGAGGAAUGUGUGGUGUAGCAGUGAAAUGCAUAGAUAUCACACAGAACACCGAUUGCGAAGGCAUCUCACGAAUCCGCGAUUGACGCUGAUGCACGAAAGCGUGGGUAUCAAACAGGAUUAGAUACCCUUGUAGUC
rnacentral:rRNA from 1 species